rnacentral:misc_RNA from 1 species
GGAAUUUUAACUUCCUUGUUAAUUAAAAUUAUUAUCAUUGAAAAUGAAAUUUUACAUUCAAUCCGAUACGAAUUAAUGUAUCGAGAGUGUCCAAUCCGAUACGAAUUUUACAUCAUCUCAAUGUUGCUCGAUACGCACAAUUAUUGUACAUAUGUAAGUCUCACAUGAUGCAAGCUAAAACUUCAAAUAGAGAGAAAACAAGCCAAGUUCCCAAGGUUCUACUAGUUGAGAACAGUUAUUCUCCAUAUGCGUAGAUAGUUGAGAUUUCAAGUAAUUAAAUCCAUUCAAGGGGAACAAUUGCGAAUGUAAGGAUUGCACUUUUGCUUAGGAGAUCCAGGGAUGCAAUAUCGUUUACCGGGGCCGCAGGCGAAUCGAGGACCUUUCUCAGCUAAUUCUCGAGCUCCAGCAACCGACACCGAGGGAGAGAACAAGAUGGUAACCAAGAGAAUGCAUAUAAUGAGAAAACCCUUCAUGUUUAAGAUUAUAGAUAUUCUUCAGUUUGCUUGUGAUAUGUAUUGCCUCUUCUCCACUAAUCCUAUUUAUAAGCAUAAAUUAAUGAUAUAUGAGCAUGCAUGAUUACAGUGAAAAGUCUAAGUUGGAGUGCCAAAUUUG